GACGAACGCUGGCGGCGUGCCUAAUACAUGCAAGUUGAGCGAUGAAGAUUGGUGCUUGCACCAAUUUGAAGAGCAGCGAACGGGUGAGUAACGCGUGGGGAAUCUGCCUUUGAGCGGGGGACAACAUUUGGAAACGAAUGCUAAUACCGCAUAACAACUUUAAACAUAAGUUUUAAGUUUGAAAGAUGCAAUUGCAUCACUCAAAGAUGAUCCCGCGUUGUAUUAGCUAGUUGGUGAGGUAAAGGCUCACCAAGGCGAUGAUACAUAGCCGACCUGAGAGGGUGGUCGGCCACAAUGGGACUGAGACACGGCCCAAACUCCCAAGGGAGGCAGCAGUAGGGAAUCUUCGGCAAUGGACGAAAGGCUGACCGAGCAACGCCGCGGGAGUGAAGAAGGUUUUCGGAUCGUAAAACUCUGUUGGUAGGGAAGAACGUUGGUGAGAGUGGAAAGCUCAUCAAGUGACGGUAACUACCCAGAAAGGGACGGCUAACUACGUG
rnacentral:rRNA from 1 species